rnacentral:rRNA from 1 species
AUUGAACGCUGGCGGCAGGCCUAACACAUGCAAGUCGAGCGGAUGAAGGGAGCUUGCUCCUGGAUUCAGCGGCGGACGGGUGAGUAAUGCCUAGGAAUCUGCCUGGUAGUGGGGGAUAACGUCCGGAAACGGGCGCUAAUACCGCAUACGUCCUGAGGGAGAAAGUGGGGGAUCUUCGGACCUCACGCUAUCAGAUGAGCCUAGGUCGGAUUAGCUAGUUGGUGGGGUAAAGGCCUACCAAGGCGACGAUCCGUAACUGGUCUGAGAGGAUGAUCAGUCACACUGGAACUGAGACACGGUCCAGACUCCUAGGGGAGGCAGCAGUGGGGAAUAUUGGACAAGGGGCGAAAGCCUGAUCCAGCCAUGCCGCGUGUGUGAAGAAGGUCUUCGGAUUGUAAAGCACUUUAAGUUGGGAGGAAGGGCAGUAAGUUAAUACCUUGCUGUUUUGACGGUACAAACAGAAUAAGCACCGGCUAACUUCG